AGAGUUUGAUCAUGGCUCAGGAUGAACGCUAGCUACAGGCUUAACACAUGCAAGUCGAGGGGAAACGACAUCGAAAGAUGUGCUAAUACCGCGUAAGACCACAGCUUCACAUGGAGCGGGGGUCAAAGGAGCAAUCCGGAUAAAGAUGGGCUCGCGUCCGAUUAGCUAGUUGGUGAGAUAACAGCCCACCAAGGCGACGAUCGGUAGCCGACCUGAGAGGGUGAUCGGCCACAUUGGAACUGAGAGACGGUCCAGACUCCUACGGGAGGCA
rnacentral:rRNA from 1 species